rnacentral:rRNA from 1 species
ACGUAGGUGGCAAGCGUUGUCCGGAAUUAUUGGGCGUAAAGCGCGCGCAGGCGGUCCUUUAAGUCUGAUGUGAAAGCCCACGGCUCAACCGUGGAGGGUCAUUGGAAACUGGGGGACUUGAGUGCAGAAGAGGAAAGUGGAAUUCCACGUGUAGCGGUGAAAUGCGUAGAGAUGUGGAGGAACACCAGUGGCGAAGGCGGCAUCCUGGCCCUGUACUGACGCUGAGGCGCGAUAGCGUGGGGAGCAAACGGGA